rnacentral:rRNA from 1 species
UACGUAGGGCGCAAGCGUUGUCCGGAAUUAUUGGGCGUAAAGGGCGCGUAGGCGAUUCGAAAAGUCAACUGUGAAAGCCCAGGGCCUAACCCUGGAAGUGCAGCUGAUACUGUUGAAUUUGAGUUCCGGAGAGGAAGGCAGAAUUCCCGGUGUAGCGGUGAAAUGCGUAGAUAUCGGGAGGAAUACCAGUGGCGAAGGCGGCCUUCUGGACGGAUACUGACGCUGAGGCGCGAAAGCUAGGGGAGCAAACGGG